CGUCGGCACAUCCACCUUAGCCGCCUUCUUGAGGUAGUAGAACGCCGGGAGGAACGCCACCCCGACUGCCAACAGCGCCCCCACCGACACCCCCACCUGCUGUCCCCCACCUGCCGUAUCAUCCGGUUCGUCACCACCUCCAGGAUCGCCACGUCCCUCUCCCUUCUCCAUCUCUUCAUCCUCUUCCUCCUCCUCGCCGUUGCCGUCGUCUUGGGGUCUCGUCGGUACCCCUUCCCGCCUCCGCUACGGCGCCGCUUGCUCUUCUUCCCGGCGCACAAUUGUGUCAUGAUGUUGGGCUCCGCGUCCACGUCUGCGUCGAUCCGGGAGCUCUUGUUCCUACGGGCGCGGGCGAGGAGUGGCGGGCGCACGCGGCUGUUGUUCGGAGCCGCCGGAGAAAGGUGCCGCCGGAAGGUCAGUGAGGAACGACAUGGGAGAGCGGUAGCGGCGACGGCGGGCGUGCGCGGCUGUUGUUCGGAGCGGC
rnacentral:sRNA from 1 species